UACAGAGGGUGCGAGCGUUAAUCGGAAUUACUGGGCGUAAAGCGCACGUAGGCGGCUUGGCAUGUCGGGUGUGAAAUCCCCGGGCUCAACCUGGGAACUGCAUCCGAAACUGCCUUGCUCGAGUAUGGGAGAGGGAAGUGGAAUUUCCGGUGUAGCGGUGAAAUGCGUAGAUAUCGGAAGGAACAUCAGUGGCGAAGGCGACUUCCUGGACCAAUACUGACGCUCAGGUGCGAAAGCGUGGGGAGCAAACAGG
rnacentral:rRNA from 1 species